UUGGGGAGUCCACAUACCUUGUCACGCGGAGAGGCUCUCCAGGGGACAGUGAAGCUGGGUUACAUGAGCCUCGGCUUCUGGUCAUUGAGCUCCCGUGGUGAGCCACGGAAUAGAAGGCCGAUCGUGCUCUUUUGUCCACAGAGCGAGCGAGGGAGCUCUAGACAAGACUCGGCCAUUCUCGUUGGCCUCUACCAGAGGUGCUGCAUUCCUUUUCUGUGCUGAAUGACAGAGUGCUACACAUUUAGUGACUUUGAGCAAUACCAUUUGUUGUCUCUCAGGUCUGUAGAGAGUCAGGGUUGGCCCAGCUGGACACUGUGUGAAGCCAAAAUCAAGGUUUCCCUCCUGGCCCUUAUCUGCAGGCUCUGGGGAAAGUCCUCUUAGAGGCCUGUUGCGGUUUUAGGCAGAAUUCAGCUCUUUGCGGUUGAAGGAACAAGGUUCCAUUCCUUGCCGGCUGUUCUCUCCAGCUGACAGCGGAAGAGGAAAUAAAGGAAAAAUUCAUUAAGUGGGAAGGAUACAGUGUACCCUAACUGACUUUGAAGGGACCCCAUUGCAAGGAGCACAGGUGGCUUCUGGGAGCUGAGAGUAAGGAAAUGGGGCUUCAGUCCUACAAAUGCAAGGAACUGAAUUCUGCCACGACCUGGGAACGUGGAAGAGGACCCUGAGCAACAGAACUGUGAAGCGGUAAAUGAGCGUGAGUCAGGGGCAGAGGUGCACUCUGUUGUCCCAGCUGCCCAGCAGGCCCAGGAGGAGGACCACGAGUUCCAGGCCAGCCUCAGCAACGUAGGCCCUGUUUCAAAAUAAAGAGUUGAAGAGGACUGGA